rnacentral:rRNA from 1 species
UCCGUAGGUGACUUGCGGAAGGAUCAUUAACGAGUUAGGGUCUCUCAUGGCCCGACCUCCCAACCCUUUGUUUACCGAACCUCCGUUGCUUCGGCGGACCCGCCCCUCCAGGGGCCGCGGGAGGAUCAGUCCUCUGGCCUGCGUCCGCCGAUAGCCAACCCCUUCAAACUCUUGAAUAAGUCGUGUCAUGAUGUCUAAGUUUUUAACCAAAAUGAAAAAGCAAAACUUUCAACAACGGAUCUCUUGGUUCUGGCAUCGAUGAAGAACGCAGCGAAAUGCGAUAAGUAAUGCGAAUUGCAGAAUUCCAGUGAGUCAUCGAAUCUUUGAACGCACAUUGCGCCCUUUGGUAUUCCGAAGGGCAUGCCUGUUCGAGCGUCAUUAUCACCCCUCAAGCCCUGGGCUUGGUGUUGGACGGCCAGGUCGGAUCUCGAUGCGACCCCUCCUAAAGACAAUGACGGCGGCCUGUGGUUCCCCCGGUACACUGAGCUUUUCACCGAGCACGUGCCGGACUGAGGGUGCCCGGGUUCACGGUCCUCUCCCGCCAUGGGAAAAUUUUAUCACAAAGGUCGACCUCGGAUCAGGUAGGAAUACGCGCUGAACUUAAGCAUAUCAAUAAGCGGAGGA